rnacentral:rRNA from 1 species
CUUCAGCUAAUACCGGAUGAGCCCUUAGGGGGAAAGAUUUAUCGCCGAAAGAGCGGCCCGCGUUAGAUUAGCUAGUUGGUGGGGUAAAGGCCCACCAAGGCGACGAUCUAUAGCUGGUCUGAGAGGAUGAUCAGCCACAUUGGGACUGAGACACGGCCCAAACUCCUACGGGAGGCAGCAGUGGGGAAUCUUGCGCAAUGGGCGGAAGCCUGACGCAGCCAUGCCGCGUGAAUGAUGAAGGUCUUAGGAUUGUAAAAUUCUUUCAGCAGGGACGAUAAUGACGGUACCUGCAGAAGAAGCCCCGGCUAACUUCGUGCCAGCAGCCGCGGUAAUACGAAGGGGGCUAGCGUUGCUCGGAAUUACUGGGCGUAAAGGGAGCGUAGGCGGGUUAUCAAGUUGGAGGUGAAAGCCCAGGGCUCAACCUUGGAAUUGCCUUCAAAACUGAUAGCCUAGAGUAUGAUAGAGGUAAGUGGAACUCCGAGUGUAGAGGUGAAAUUCGUAGAUAUUCGGAAGAACACCAGUGGCGAAGGCGAC